UCACUGCUGACGAGUCCCAAAAUAGGACGAAACGGCCGUCCAGUGC
rnacentral:hammerhead_ribozyme from 1 species